UGGGGAAUUUUGGACAAUGGGCGCAAGCCUGAUCCAGCCAUGCCGCGUGUGUGAAGAAGGCCUUCGGGUUGUAAAGCACUUUCGGCCGGGACGAAAUCGCUCGGGUUAACACCCAGGGUGGAUGACGGUACCGGAAUAAGAAGCACCGGCUAACUACGUGCCAGCAGCCGCGGUAAUACGUAGGGUGCAAGCGUUAAUCGGAAUUACUGGGCGUAAAGCGUGCGCAGGCGGUUUUGUAAGCCAGACGUGAAAUCCCCGGGCUUAACCUGGGAACUGCGUUUGGAACUGCAAGGCUAGAGUGCGGCAGAGGAAGGUGGAAUUCCUGGUGUAGCAGUGAAAUGCGUAGAUAUCAGGAGGAACACCAAUGGCGAAGGCAGCCUUCUGGGCUAGCACUGACGCUCAUGCACGAAAGCGUGGGGAGCAAACAGGAUUAGAUACCCUGGUAGUCCACGCCCUAAACUAUGACGACUAGUUGUUGGGGAUUUAACAUCCUUAGUAACGCAGCUAACGCGUGAAGUCGUCCGCCUGGGGAGUACGGUCGCAAGAUUA
rnacentral:rRNA from 1 species